rnacentral:rRNA from 1 species
UACGGGGGGAGCAAGCGUUGUUCGGAUUUACUGGGCGUAAAGGGCGCGUAGGCGGCCACUGCAAGUCGGUUGUGAAAUCUCCGGGCUUAACUCGGAACGGUCAAGUGAUACUGUCGGACUAGAGUACAGAAGGGGCAACUGGAAUUCUCGGUGUAGCGGUGAAAUGCGUAGAUAUCGAGAGGAACACCUGCGGCGAAGGCGGGUUGCUGGGCUGAUACUGACGCUGAGGCGCGAAAGCUAGGGGAGCAAACGGG